rnacentral:tRNA from 1 species
GGUUGUGGCUUAGUGGUAGAGUGCUUGCCUAGCACAUGUGAGGUACUGGGUUAGAUCCUCAGUACCA